rnacentral:misc_RNA from 1 species
UCUCCGUUGGUGAACCAGCGGGGGGAUCAUUACCGAGUGCAAACUCAUAACCCUUUGUGAACCUAUAUCUGUUGCUUCGGCGGCUCGCUCUCGGGCGAGCCCGCCGGUAAUAUCAGUAUCUCUGUUUGAACCCGACGAUACUUCUGAGUGUUCUUAGCGAACAGUUAAAACUUUUAACAACGGAUCUCUUGGCUCUAGCAUCGAUGAAGACGCAGC